UACACAAAGUCUUCUCAAAAA
rnacentral:piRNA from 1 species